AGCGAGCCUAAAACAAGUGCAGGCAGCUCGCAGGCUGUUAACUAGUGCGGAAAGCCGAAGAUGCUCCUUCCCGGAUGUCUCCAGCCCGACUGGGAGAUGCUCCCCGAGCUCCGGGGAUGCGACUGCAGGAUUUAGGCAUCUCUCCUCCUUCCCAGCUCUCCAUUUUGGACAGAAAACACCACCCCGAAAACCCAGCCUGUGCUGUCGGUGUGAUUUGCAAGGGAAAGGACCUUCAGGGAGAAGCACUGGAAGUGUGUGAGUCACACGUGGAUCCGGAGCCCCGCGGCAGGGCAGGAAGAGGGAGCUGUGAGCCGAGACCCCCAGCUCCAGCCUGGGCUGAGUCUGGAAGCGGCUGUGCCUCGGCAGGGCUGGGGGGACUGUGCCCAGCAGCUCCUGAGCCGUCCGGAUCAGCCCCCCGAGGCUCGAAAGACUCCAAACCAGCAGUCUCUGGAUGUUCUGUUUGCAGCCUUGACGGAUGUGUUUGGGGAAGGCGCUCCCAGAUGUGCAUUCAGCCGGGAGGCUGGGAAGGAGGAGGGGGUGGAGGGAGGAAAACUGGGUUUUCUACCCAAGAGAUGCUGCAGAUCCUGUGCUGAUGCCUUGCUUGGUACAGGAGAGCAUCUGUGGUGUGACUGCAGGAGUGAGAAUGAGGGGGAUCCAUCCAGGGUGUGAGGUGCUGGGUCUGAGCAGGGCCAGAGUAACUCCCUUCCAUAUCAGCUCCAUGAACAGCAGGAAUUUGGCUUGCUUUUUUCCAGAUCCAGAAUUAUACCCCAGGAUUUCUAUCUCUGUACAGCGUCCAGCCCUACAGCAGGUGCUUGACUGAUGGACCCCCAAGACUCUUCUCCCCAGGCUAUGAGCCACCCUGACCUCCCCCUGACAAUUUUCACCCAAGAGAUAAGAUCAUUUCAGCUUUGCUGUCUCCACAUUUGGCCUUAGCAAGCCCAGCCUUGGCAUCCCCCAGCAAGGAUGUUCAUAUGGGAAUGUCUCUCAGUCUGAGCUACCCAUACCAUCCCUGAUGCUUUCUCCAUUUUACACUAUGGAGUCUGAGGCAAAGAGAAGACAAAGGACUUGGGAGCCCUGAGCUGGAUUUCCCAGGAGGACUUUUCAGCAUACCAGAUUGCUGCCCUGAAGCUGAACCCUCCUUCCAUAGCCAGAAGGCUCCAGCACUGUGUUGUCAUGGAUGGCUGAGGUACAGAGGGAGCAGGAGCUGCCUCCAGAGUCUGGUUUCCUCUUGUACAAAUCCACAUCAGCCCUGAAAUGCAAAAUAUGAUCCCUCCUCCUGCAUCUGUGCCUGUGAGUAAAGCCAGGCUCUCAAUACCUUGUGGCUAAACAGACCUGUGUUCCUUCUGCAUUACUCAGAAAUUCAGACAAGGAGAGAUGCACAAACCUCCUGCACUUUGUGGUGCCUUUUCCAGGAGAGUGGAAAAGGCAGAGCUGAGCACACCCAAACAAGCUAUGGCCCAGAAUUAAAGCAGCUGAGGACCAGAGUGGCAAUAGCACCCAUGCUCCUGGCUCCAGACCUUGCUGCCUGUCUCCCCUUGUGCUCACCACCCCUGCAUAGUCAGGGACAAGACCCUUCCCCUCUAAAAAAUUCCUGGCUAGAAUGAGUUCCCUUUCAUACCCAUUCCCAGCCCAUCUGCAAAUCCCUCUCCCUUCCCCACACCUGCACUGCCUGGGCUGGUGUGUUAAUGCUUUCAUUUCUUCUCCAUUAAUGUUUUCAUUUUUCCCCCCCCCCCAUGUGUACAGCCUUUGCAAUCCCAUUUGCUGUAAUUCACACCAUAAACCAUCUGCUGCCUUUUAUUGUUGAACUGUGCAGGAAGCUUCAGCUGUAGCCUGGAGGGAACAGCCCCAUGCCCAGCAGAGCUGCCUGGCACCAGCUCCACACCAGCUCCACACUGGCUCUGCUCCACUGCCCCUGUGGAUGGGCACAAACCAGGGAGACAAAUCAUGGAAUCAU